CACCAACAGCGAGAGCCAGACUUGCAGGGCAAGGCAACGGAGUAAGGAGGCUGCGAUGGAAACAGAACCCAUCUAGGAUCCCAGAUGACGUGAGUUGUCACGUCUCCUUUGGUUCCUCUUAGCGAGGAUGGUGUCCUCCUUAUUUUGGGUGAUCUUGCGGUUCUGAGGAGGUAUUUACAGAAUGUCCCUUGAUUAGAAUUUGUCUGAUUUCUUCUCAUGACUGGAGUGGUGUGUGCAUUUGAGGAGCAAGACCACGAGGUGAGUUCCCUCAUCGCAGCAGGCUACCCACCAGCCAUGCUCAUCACUGCUGUUGCUGACCUGGGCCACCGGCCUGGGCAGUGUUUGCCAGGUCUCCUUCCCCAGUGUGCCCGUUCCUGCUCUCUCUGGAAGGAGACCCACAGCCCUCCUUUGAUUUUGACACAUCUUUUCAGACAACGACCUGGUCAACUGAACUUUCAAACUUGACUCCUGGUGUGUUUUUCCCUGUCUCCUUCCCAGAGUGUCUGAGCAGGAAAGUGUGACGGUCCAUGGGGCAGCGGAGAGAUGGCCUUGGGGUGUCACCUGCCUGCUUGCUAGCUUCUCCUGACUGCUUGCUAGCUUACCACAAUCUCAACCUAAUGACAGAAAACUUGUGUCAUCAAAGAAAUUCCCUGGGGGCCCCUCUGUAACCACCCCUACACCUUAAUCCCCGCUGCCUGGUGAUCUCUGCACCGUAGUCUGCCUUUCCUGGAACGUCAUGGAAAUGGGAUGACAUUUCACCCACUGUCAUACACCUGCAGUUCUUCCGAGUGGGGCCUGUGCCGGGAGUCCCUCCUUUUCAUCCCCGAGUGGAACCGUCGUGUGGCCGUGUGGCAGUUGCUCAUUCAUGCACAGCUGGAAGGACUUCAGUAGCUUCCAAUUUUUAGUCAAUCAUCAGUAAAGCUUGUGUGAAUGUUUACAAA